rnacentral:rRNA from 1 species
GGUGAACUAUACUUGAACGGAUUGAAGCCGAAGGAAACUUUGGUGGAAGAUUCACGCAGUGUUAACGUGCAAAUUACUUGUCAUAUUUGAGUAUAGGGGCGAAAGACUCAUCGAACUAUCUAGUAGCUGGUUCCACCUGAAUAUUCCCUUAGGAAGGUCAAAGUAUUAAUAGUAUUGAUUGGUAAAGAUAAUGAUUAGGUGUAAUGGGUGAGUAUUUUCACUCAACAUCUUGUCAAACUAUGAAUAAACAAAGAAGAAUUCUCAGUGUUAAAUACACUUCAGGAAUUUAAAUAUAAACAUACUUUGAAUCGGCCAAGUCUGGUAAGCAGGACUGGCGAUGCGGGAUGAACCGAACGUCGAGAUAAAGUGCCAAAAAGAAACAUAACGAGUACCACAAAAGGUAUUCAUUCAUAUUGACAAUAGGACGGUGGCCAUGGAAGUCGGAAACCGCUAAGGAAUGUGUAACAACUCACCUAUCGAAUGAAUGAGUCCUGAAAAUGGAUGGCAUUAUAAUUUCUUAACUGAUACUCGACCGUUAAAAUGAAGACAUUUUAACGAGUAAGGAAACGAAAUGGCGUAAGGACAACAAAAGUAGUAAAGAUUUAAAGUAAUUUAGAUUGAAACUGUCCUUAGUGCAGAUCUUGGUGGUAGUAGCAAAUACUAAGAAGAGGAAAAAAACAUCUUAGAACUGAAGAGGAGAAAGGUUCCUAAACAACAUUACUUGGAUUAGGGUGAAUCGAUCCUAAAUUACAGAUGGAAAUCCUUAAGAAAUAUAUAAGUGACAUAUAGUCAAUAUAAGGAUUGAAAGGGAAUAAGAUUAAUAGUUCUUAAUCAAGAGAAUUAAUGAUUAAAUCUUAGAAAUAAGAUUAAAUCGAAUAAAAUGGUAACAUAUCAUGAACUUUAAAAUGGAGUGUGAAAAUCUACGGAAGAGUUCUCUUUUCUUCUUAACAAAAGUAAACUCCACUGAAAUGAAUCAAUCAGAGAAGUGGAAUUUAUUGGCUUUGUAAGAAAUUCAACAUAUGAUUGAAUUGUGGUAUUUUUGCAGUCUUCAUAAAAAUUAAAGGGAAUCUUAGCAUAAAGCUAAUUAAAGAAUUCUUUUGCUCGUACUAAUAACCGCAACAGGUCUCCAAGAAGCAAAAUCUUUAGUUAAAUAGAAUAACGCAGGUAAGGGAAGUCGGCAACAUAGCUCUGUAAGUUAGCAAGAAAGAGUAGCUCUGGUGAUUUCCUUGUAAAAGGAUUAAAAUCGAAUCAGAACUUUAAAGGUUAGGGGAAUCCGACUGUUUAAUAAAAAACAUAGCAUUCUGAUAAAUCUAAAAGGUUCAUUACAGAAUGUGAUUUCUGCCCAGUGCUCUGAAUGUCAAGGUAAUGAAAUUUACUUAAGCGCGGGUUAACGGCGGGAGUAACUAUGACUCUCUUAAGGUAGCCAAAUGCCUCGUCAUCUAAUUAGUGACGCGCAUGAAUGGAUCACCGUGAUUCCCACUGUCCCUAUCUGCAAUCUAGUGAAACCACAGUCAAGGGAACGGGCUUGAUUGGAACGGCGGGGAAAGAAGACCCUGUUGAGCUUGACUCUAAUUUAUCAUGUGAAAUCGAUUUUUUGGUAUAGGCUAGGUGGGAGACUUUGUCAAACGUGUAAUACCACCACUAGAAAUACUAUUUCACUCAUUUCGUUAAAUGUUAAAAUGGAUUUUCCAUUAAUUUAAAAACAUUAAAACUUCGGUUGAAACAGGCGAUUGAAAAAGAUAGACGGGGAGUUUGGCUGGGGCGGCACAUCUGUUACAAGAUAACGCAGGUGUCCAAAGAUGAACUCAAUGAGGACAGAAACCUCAUGUAGAAUAUAAGGGUAUAAGUUCAUUUGAUUAUUGAUUCCAGUACAAUCAAUAACUCUGAAAUGAUGGCCUAACGAUCCCUAAGAUUUUUAACUAGAAAAAAUUUAAAACAUAUUAGAUUUAUCUGAUGUGUGAGACCGUAAGGUGAUUUCUAGUUAAUCCUUUAAUAAUAAGGCUUGGGGUGUCAGAAAAGUUACCACAGGGAUAACUGGCUUGUGGCAGCCAAGCGCUCAUAGCGACGUUGCUUUUUGAUCCUUCGAUGUCGGCUCUUCCUAUCCAUUUCAAGCAGAAUUGAAAAAAGGUAUGAUUGUUCACCAUUUAAUAGGGAACGUGA